GAUGAACGCUGGCGGCGUGCUUAACACAUGCAAGUCGAACGAGAAGUGAAGACGGAAACCUUCGGGCGGAAGGCUUUAUUUCGAGUGGCGGACGGGUGAGUAACGCGUGGGUAACCUGCCUCAUACAGGGGGAUAACAGUUGGAAACGACUGUUAAUACCGCAUAAGACCACAGCACCGCAUGGUGCGGGGGUAAAAACUCCGGUGGUAUGAGAUGGACCCGCGUUCGAUUAGCCAGUUGGCGGGGUAACGGCCCACCAAAGCGACGAUCGAUAGCCGAUCUGAGAGGAUGACCGGCCACAUUGGGACUGAGACACGGCCCAAACUCCUACGGGAGGCAGCAGUGGGGAAUAUUGCACAAUGGGGGAAACCCUGAUGCAGCGACGCCGCGUGAGUGAAGAAGUAUUUCGGUAUGUAAAGCUCUAUAAGCAGGGAAGAAAAUGACGGUACCUGAGUAAGAAGCCCCGGCUAACUACGUG
rnacentral:rRNA from 1 species